AUUGAACGCUGGCGGCAGGCUUAACACAUGCAAGUCGAGCGGAGAUGAGGUGCCUGCACCUUAUCUUAGCGGCGGACGGGUGAGUAAUGCUUAGGAAUCUGCCUAUUAGUGGGGGACAACAUUCCGAAAGGAAUGCUAAUACCGCAUAAGCCCUACGGGGGAAAGCAGGGGAUCUUCGGACCUUGCGCUAAUAGAUGAGCCUAAGUCGGAUUAGCUAGUUGGUGGGGUAAAGGCCUACCAAGGCGACGAUCUGUAGCGGGUCUGAGAGGAUGGUCCGCCACACUGGGACUGAGACACGGCCCAGACUCCUACGGGAGGCAGCAGUGGGGAAUAUUGGACAAUGGGCGGAAGCCUGAUCCAGCCAUGCCGCGUGUGUGAAGAAGGCCUUUUGGUUGUAAAGCACUUUAAGCGAGGAGGAGGCUACUUAGAUUAAUACUCUAGGAUAGUGGACGUUACUCGCAGAAUAAGCACCGGCUAACUCUGUGCCAGCCGCCGCCGUAAUAC
rnacentral:rRNA from 1 species